rnacentral:rRNA from 1 species
AGUGAACGCUGGCGGCAGGCCUUACACAUGCAAGUCGAACGGUAGCAGAGUUAGAGCUUCUUACUAGUGGCGGCGAGGGGAGGACGAGAGCGGAACAUACCGGAACCUACUGUAUAGCGGGGGAUAAGGUAUGGAAAUACCCGCUAAUACCUACUAAUAACAACGGGUGAUAGCAGGACAUCUCCGGGCCUUGGGCGCCUGUGGGAGACGAUGUCGGAUUAGCUAGUUGGCGGGAUAAAGGCCCACCAAGGCGACGAUCCGUAGCUGGUCUGAGAGGAUGAUCAGCCACACUGGGACUGAGACACGGUCCAGACUCCUACGGGAGGCAGCAGUGGGGAAUAUCGGACAAUGGGCGCAAGCCUGAUCCAGCCAUACCGCGUGGGUGAUGAAGGCCUUCGGGUUGUAAAGCCCUUUUGUUGGGAAAGAAAAGCAGCAGGUUAAUACCCCGCUGUUCUGACGGUACCCAAAGAAUAAGCACCGGCUAACUUCGUG